rnacentral:rRNA from 1 species
GACGAACGCUGGCGGCGUGCUUAACACAUGCAAGUCGAACGGAAAGGCCCUGCUUUUGUGGGGUGCUCGAGUGGCGAACGGGUGAGUAGCACGUGAGUAACCUGCCCUUGACUUUGGGAUAACUUCAGGAAACUGGGGCUAAUACCGGAUAGGAGCUCCUGCUGCAUGGUGGGGGUUGGAAAGUUUCGGCGGUUGGGGAUGGACUCGCGGCUUAUCAGCUUGUUGGUGGGGUAGUGGCUUACCAAGGCUUUGACGGGUAGCCGGCCUGAGAGGGUGACCGGCCACAUUGGGACUGAGAUACGGCCCAGACUCCUACGGGAGGCAGCAGUGGGGAAUAUUGCACAAUGGGCGGAAGCCUGAUGCAGCAACGCCGCGUGCGGGAUGACGGCCUUCGGGUUGUAAACCGCUUUCGCCUGUGACGAAGCGUGAGUGGCGGUAAUGGGUAAAGAAGCACCGGCUAACUACGUG